UCAACCGUGGAGGGUCAUUGGAAACUGGGGGACUUGAGUGCAGAAGAGGAAAGUGGAAUUCCAAGUGUAGCGGUGAAAUGCGUAGAGAUUUGGAGGAACACCAGUGGCGAAGGCGACUUUCUGGUCUGUAACUGACGCUGAGGCGCGA
rnacentral:rRNA from 1 species